GUGCUCGAUUCGGCAGCACAUAUACUAAAAUUGGAACGAUACAGAGAAGAUUAGCAUGGCCCCUACGCAAGGAUGACAUGCAAAUUUGUGAAACAUUCCAUAUUUUU
ensembl:snRNA U6 U6 spliceosomal RNA